CUGGCUCAGAGCGAACGUUGGCAGUGUGUCUUAAGCAUGCAAGUCGAACGGCAGCAGGCCAUGUAGCAAUAUAUGGUGCUGGCGAGUGGCGAACUGGUGAGUAACACGUAAGAAUCUGCCCUAAGGUGGGGGAUAACUCAUGGAAACAUGAGCUAAUACCGCAUAAUGCGAAGCUUAUAGAGAUAUAAGUUUUGUUAAAGGAGAAAUCCGCCAUAGGAUGAGCUUGCGUCCCAUUAGCUAGUUGGCGGGGUAAAUGCCCACCAAGGCUAUGAUGGGUAGCUGGCCUGAGAGGGUGGUCAGCCACACUGGGACUGAGAUACGGCCCAGACUCCUACGGGAGGCAGCAGCUAAGAAUCUUCCUCAAUGGGGGAAACCCUGAAGGAGCGACACUGCGUGCAGGAUGAAGGCCCUUUGGGUUGUAAACUGCUUUUGCAGGGGAGAAAUAACCGAAUGGGAUGAUAGUACUCUGCGAAUAAGUCCCGGCUAACUACGUGCCAGCAGCCGCGGUAAUACGUAAGGGGCGAACGUUGCUCGGAAUCACUGGGCGUAAAGGGCCGGUAGGUGGCUUUAUAAGUCGGUUGUCAAAUACCUAUGCUCAACGUGGGAGAGGCGACCGAUACUGUAGAGCUUGAGUAGAGGAUGGGAUGAUGGAAUACCCGGUGUAGGGGUGAAAUCUGUUGAUAUCGGGUAGAACACCGAUGGCGAAAGCGAUCAUCUAGCCUCAUACUGACACUCAACGGCGAAAGCCAGGGGAGCGAACGGGAUUAGAUACCCCGGUAGUCCUGGCCAUAAACGAUGCAUGCUAGGUAUUGGCACCGCGUUGGUGCUGGUACCGCAGCUAACGCGUUAAGCAUGCCGCCUGGGGAGUAUGCUCGCAAGAGUGAAACUCAAAGGAAUUGA
rnacentral:rRNA from 1 species